CCAACAGGAAAGAACGGUUGGUGCGGUUUCAGCCGCUGCCUGAAACAGGCAAAGGUGCAUCUGCCCGGCUGGAGGAUGCUGCUGUCGAGGAACAGACUCUCUGAGGCUUAUAAUUGUCCUGUUGCUAGUCUGUUAUAUGACGGGAGAGUCCUUGAGAAGUUUCAAAGAAAUUAAGAUGAAUAUGGCUGUGUUUAUCUCAUUCCAAAUUAUGCUAACAAAACAACAGCAAGGAUAGAGGAAGAUGGGAAAACUUCCAACUUUUACGCUAAACAUGGGACUACAUUUUGGAAAAGGCCUUGUUGGCAAAGAGUAACGAUUCUGUGAUGAACACAGAACUUGCCCUAAAGUUUCUAGCAAGUUCCAACAAAACAGCAAGGGCUUGACUCUAUUUCUCACAUGCUCAGAGUGGAGUUGGCAUAUUUGCUUGCACUUACCCAGAAAAGCAAGCACAUCUGAAAAGCUACUGAAAACACAGCCGGAUCAAUAGGGUAUGUCUCGGCUAACAAAUUACUCCAGGUGUAUUCAGCUGCCCACUGGCUGAGACAGGACACCCUCCUUUCUAGAGGAGUUAGGUUGUCAUCACCAGCAGGAGAUGAAACACGUAAAACCACAUGCUUUGAACCUUGGGACCAUAACGGCACGUGUGGGGUCCACCUCUGAUCAUACCUCCUGCGACCACGUGUCUUGGGGAGACAUCCCUGUUUACACAUGAAGAAACUGAGGCAUGGAACCAUUCAGUAAAAUGCAAAAUUACUCAUCCCAGAAGUGGAGAAGCGGAUUGCAAAUCUUCAAAUUCUGGUUCGAGUCCAUGAUGCUAACCACUAACCUUACACUGCCUAUGAAUAGUAUACAGGUUGGUUGGUUUUAAUUAAUACUAACA